rnacentral:rRNA from 1 species
GUGACUAUACAAAGGUAUUGUAAUAAGACUUUAAAUGGGUGCUAAGAGAAUGGUUUAACAAAAAUUGACUUUCUUAUUUUCUAUAAUGGAAUUUAAUUUAAAAAUGAAAAAGUUUUUAUAAAAUUUUGGGACAAGAAGACCCUGUGAAUUUUUCAUUAAUGAGGUUGUGAAUUAGUUAUAAUAAUUAAUAAGUUUUAUUAAUGUUGAUUGGGGUGAUUUUUAAAGAUUAUUAAUCUUUAAAAAGAUUAUAAAAUAGAACCAUUAUUAAUGGAUGUUUGGAAAAAUACUCUAGGGAUAACAGCGUAAUAACUUUGGAUAGAUCCUAUAUGAUAAAGUCCGGUUUGCGACCACGAUGUUGGAUUAAGAUUCUGUUUCAAGAUGGAAAGUCUUGAAAAGAAGUUUGCUCAACUUUYAAAAUCUUACUU